GACGAACCGUGCGACCGUUGUUCGGAAUCACUGGGCUUAAAGGGCGCGUAGGCGGGCGGCCGCGUCCGGGGUGAAAUCCCACGGCUCAACCGUGGAACGGCCUCGGAUACGGGCGGCCUCGAGGGGGGUAGGGGCAUCUGGAACUGUGAGUGGAGCGGUGAAAUGCGUUGAUAUUCACAGGAACUCCGGUGGCGAAGGCGAGGUGCUGGACCCCAUCUGACGCUGAGGCGCGAAAGCCAGGGGAGCGAACGGG
rnacentral:rRNA from 1 species